CGUUUGGCAGUUGACAUCGAACCAAUUCGUUGGUAACUGCCAAAUAGCACUUCAUUAAAGCAGCGUUUCGCCGUGCCCACACCGAGACCCUGCUUUUUUUA
rfam:Lactobacillus pontis DSM 8475 NODE_165, whole genome shotgun sequence.